UGUUAUGUAUUCAAUUAUGAGUUAGGAUUGCAAAUCUUAAAGUGGCGUUAAGCUCUUAACUU
rnacentral:tRNA from 1 species